GGUCCCCCAGUGAGUAGACAGACAGGACCCCAGUAGGUAGACAGACAGGUCCCCAAGUAGGUAGACAGACAGUUCCCCUAAUGAGUAGACAGGCAGGUACCCCAGUAGGUAGACAGACAGGUCCCCAAUAGGUAGACAGACAGGUCCCCUAGUGAGUAGACAGACAGGUCCCCAAGUAGGUAGACAGACAGUUCCCCUAGUGAGUAGACAGACAGGUCCCCCAGUAGGUAGACAGACAGGUCCCCCAGUAGACAGACAGGUCUCCCAGUAGACAGACAGACAGGUCCCCCAGUAGGUAGACAGACAGGUCUCCCAGUAGGCAGAAAGACAGACAUAAAGGUUUGGACGGUCUGUUUGUCGUCCGCCACAAACACCCGGAAAAAAAAGUUUUACUUUUACAACAUACAUAUAUAAACAUCCAUAAAAAUGUAUAUAUAUACACA